GGUUAGCUCAGUUGGUAGAGCGCUCCACUGAUAAUGGCGAGGUCCCUGGUUCAAUGCCAGGACC
rnacentral:tRNA from 1 species